rnacentral:lncRNA from 1 species
GUCAGUUUAUAGAUGGAUUUUGUUUUUAAAAUCCAUUCAGCCAAUCUGUAUCUUGAUUAGAGAACAUAAUCCACCUACCUUGAAAGUAAUUAUUGGUAGGUAAGGGCUUACCAUUGCCAUUUUUAUAAUUGUUUUCUGACUAUUUGGUAUUUCUUCUUCUCUUGCUGUCUUCCUUUGUGAUUUUUUUUUUUUUUUGUAGUGGUAUGCUUUGAUUUAUUUUUCUUUCUCUUUUGUGUAUCUACUACAGGUUCCACAGGAUUUUUUCUUUGUGGUUAUCAUAAUGCUUACAUAAAGCGUCUUAGAGUUACAGUAGUUUAAGUUGAUAAAAACUUAACUUUGCAUAAAAAUCUCUACCUUAACAGAUUUUACAAUUUAUGUCUUUUUAAGUUGCAUGUUCUUUAUAACAAAUUGUAGUUAUUUUUUAUACUAUUGUCUUUUAACUUUUAUUUUGUGAUUCUGGGGAUUGAGCCUGGGGUGCUCUGUCACUGAGCUACAUCCCAGCCCUUUUUUUAUUUUUCAUUUUUUGAGAUAGGUUCUUGCUAAAUUGCUGAACCUUGAAUUUGAUAUCUUCCUGCCUUUGCUUCUGAAGUCUAUAGGAUUAUAGGUGUGUAUCACCACAUCUGGCUGUCUUUUAACUUUUAUACUAGAGUUAAAAGUGAUUUACACAUCACCAGUGCAGUAUGGUGAAUUUGAUUAUGUUUUUACCUUAACAGUGAAUUUUAUACUUCAUAUGUUUUCGUGUUGUUAGUUAGCAUCUUUUUAAUUCAAUUUGAAAAACUUUUUUGGCAUUUUUUUUAAGUCAGGUAUAGUGGUGAUGAACUCCUUCCACUUUUGUUUGUCUGGGAAAGUCUAUUUCUCCUUCAUUUAUUAAAAGGGAAACUUUGCUGGGUGUAGAAUUCUUGGUUCGCAGUGUUUUUCUUUCAGAACUUUGAAUACAUCAUCCUACCUUUUCCUGGCCUGUAAGAUUUUUCCUAAGAAAUCCAAUAGUCUUAUGGAGAUUUCCUUGUAUAUGACUAGUUGCUUCUCUCUGGCUGUUUUCCAAGUUCUCUUUGUCUUUGACUUUUAAGACUUUAAUUGUAAAUACACAUAGAUGAAGAUCUCUUUAUACUUAAUCUACUCAGGGAUCCCUGGGAUUCAUGAAUCUGGAUUUUUUUUUUCUCUGCAUUUGGGAAGAUUUGUUAUUAUUUUUUAAAAUAGAUUUUUUAUUUCUUUCUCUUUCUCUGCUUUACCAUAAUGUAUAUUGUGGCUCACUUGAUGGUGUCCUGUAAAUUCUUUAGGCUUUCUUCACUUUUUUUAAAAAUUCUUUUUGCAUUUUGUUCUUCCGAUUGGGUGUUAUAUUUUGGAUUUGGACUGUGUUCCAAAGUUUCAUGUGUUGAAAUCUUGGUCCUCAAUGUAGCUGUGUUCAGAGGAUAAUGAUACUGAUUAUCAUUAUUAUAAUUAUCCUUUUGGAUAAUGAUUGAAUCAUGAGAAUGAUAACCUCAUCAAUCCAUUGAUGAUCAUGUUUAUAAGUUGUAUGUGUUGGUCACUGGGAAAUUUUGAAGGAUAUGUUUUUCCCUGGACCUUUUCUCUUACUUUGCUUCCCAGCCACCAUGAGGGAAGCAGCUCUAGUUAGAUUGUCAGAGAUUCUGUGCUACUGAAGUUUGUGGGUAGACUUGCUGCUGGAAUCCUUGAGUAAGCUGGCGAGAUACCUGUGUCAAUGGGCAGAUGGAUAGGUUCUUGCUAAAUUGCUGAACCUGGUGCUUAGUUUUACAGAGCCUGUGCUGGUGAUUGCAACCAUGGAGGUGGGCUUGGAGCCUGAGUCUGUGGGGCUGAGCAUAAAGCCUACUUUGCAGGGGCUCAUCUGAUGCUUAUGUGAGCCUGAGUUCUGGGUCCACAAGGGCUAGCCUGAAGCAACUGGAGGUGGCCUGUUACCCAAGUUGUCCUGGAACCUAAAUUCACAAAUACCAAGCCUGGACUUUUGCUUGAUUGGUGCCAGUCCAAUACCUACAGUCAUGAGGGCCAGCCUGAUAUGGAACUGGCCUGGAAUCUAGGUCCACAGGGGCUAGCCUUGAGUCUGGGCCUACAUGGGCUGGUCUGGAACCAGGGUUCACUGGGAUGGGCUUAGUGCUAAAUCCACAGUGAAGCCAGGUGCUCACUUUACUCUCUUUCCCCACAUGGAGGCUAUCUCUGUCCACACUUCUAUUCAGAUUUAGGGUAGUGAUGAAGUAAAUAAUAUGAAACUAUCCUUCCUACCCUCUGCAAUGCAUCUUAUUUCUAUGAUCUAUACAUGUGCAGUAAAGUCUCAUUUGAAUUCCAUAGCUCUUGGGAAGGAAUUUCCAUUUGUGGAUGGUUGUUCAAAUUGAUAUUUCUGUGAGGAGAUGAGCAUUAGAAACUUCUUUCAUUUUGCUGAUACUGCUUGUGGAAAUCAAGAUAGUAAAUUUUAUGGUAUAUAUAUUUUGUCACAUAAAAAUUGAAAAAAUUGAUGGUUUUAAAACAGAAAUGUAAGAGCAAAAUAGAUAAAAAUGCUAUAGGGUCUUGAUUUAACAUCUGAGCAGCCAUCUUAAAUGUUAACUGCCAUCUUAGGAGAUAAGUUUUGCUUUCUUGUACUUCCUCUUACCAACCUCAUCCUGUGAGGAUGGCCUUAGGCCUUAGCCUAAGCAACUCCAUUUUAAAAACUCAGUUUGAAACCUGAAGUCUCACCAGGCAUGCCUAAUGCAGCCCUCUAGUAUGGCCCUCAGACACAAACAAGUCACUUUCCCCCACCCUGAUAAACUCAGAGUGAAGCCUCUGGCAGGCUGUUCUGGCCUGAUAAGAGGGAAAGACCAAAAUAUGGUGGGGACCAUCAGACCAGAUGUUUUAACCCGAGGGUAAAUGAUGUCACUGAGAAAUCCAAUGGUAGCUGAUAAGGAUUGAAAGGGGAGUCAAAAGCCCCCAAAUUUAGUAUAAAUAAUAGAGCAAAUAAACAGCCCAUAUUGAUGCAUAUAAGCCUGAGAGCCUGAUGAGGACCUGAACUGACAUCCCAACUCUUCUCAUCUGCCUGAACCUCUGUGUUGUUCUCACCGCUUUCAAACUCUACAGCCACAUCUUGACCCUGGUGAGAGCCACAACUCCUCCCUAGAAUCGCCUCCUCAGCCUGCUGUCAGCUCCACCCCAGGAGAAGCCUGCCUUGGUUCCUGAUCUCAUCACCGCAGCCUCUGCUGCACUUAAAGCCUAAGGCUUGAGACUUUUGAUCUGACACUUGAACUUAGCAUGCAGAGGGAAUGUCUGUCAUGUUAAGUGUGUUUGCAGUGCUUACAAUUAAUCUAGAAUUGUUUAUUUGUCUAUUGCAGUGCCCAGCAUUAAGGAUUGUCAUUUUCUUGAUUAAGAACCCUAGAAUGAAAUUGUACUGAGUGAUUUGAGUGAAUAAAGCAUUGAAAAGGGCAGAAGCAUGUGGACAUUCUUUAUUUCUCCCCCUCAACUACAUAAAUCGAAACUUUUGGCCAUGGGGACAGCCCCCCACUCCCAUUAGUGACCUACCCUAUG